CCUACGGGUGGCAGCAGUGGGGAAUAUUGGUCAAUGGGCGCGAGCCUGACCCAGCAACGUCGCGUGAAGGAAGAAGGCUCUCGGGUUGUUAACCUCCUUUUACAGGGAAGAGAAGAAGACGGUACCUGUCGAAUAAGCCACGGCUAACUACGGGCCAGCAGCCGCGGUAAUACGGAGGUGGCAAGUGUUGUCCGGAUUUACUGGGUUUAAAGGGCGUGUAGCCGGGCUGACAAGUCAGAUGUGAAAUCCGGGGGCUCAAGCCCCGAACUGCAUUUGAAACUGUUAGUCUUGAGUAUCGGAGAGGCAGGCGGAAUUCCUGGUGUAGCGGUGAAAUGCGUAGAUAUUAGGAAGAACACCAGUGGCGAAGGCGGCCUGCUGGACGACCACUGACGGUGAGGCGCGAAAGCGUGGGGAGCAAACAGGAUUAGAUACCCCUGUAGUC
rnacentral:rRNA from 1 species